UACAAUAAUCCCAUUUUAAGUGUCACCAACGUUCUUUUAUAUAACUUGGAGGAAGUCGGGUGAAAAUCCCGAGCUGACCCGCAACUGUGAUUCCGCGAAAGCGGAUAAGCCAGAACUUCCAUAACUGUGAUAUC
rnacentral:ncRNA from 2 species